GACGAACGCUGGCGGCGUGCUUAACACAUGCAAGUCGAACGGAAAGGCCCUGCUUUUGUGGGGUGCUCGAGUGGCGAACGGGUGAGUAACACGUGAGUAACCUGCCCUUGACUUUGGGAUAACUUCAGGAAACUGGGGCUAAUACCGGAUAGGAGCUCCUGCUGCAUGGUGGGGGUUGGAAAGUUUCGGCGGUUGGGGAUGGACUCGCGGCUUAUCAGCUUGUUGGUGGGGUAGUGGCUUACCAAGGCUUUGACGGGUAGCCGGCCUGAGAGGGUGACCGGCCACAUUGGGACUGAGAUACGGCCCAGACUCCUACGGGAGGCAGCAGUGGGGGAUAUUGCACAAUGGGCGGAAGCCUGAUGCAGCAACGCCGCGUGCGGGAUGACGGCCUUCGGGUUGUAAACCGCUUUCGCCUGUGACGAAGCGUGAGCGACGGUAAUGGGUAAAGAAGCACCGGCUAACUACGUG
rnacentral:rRNA from 1 species